UAUUUAGCCGAUAACCAUUGGACCCUAAUUAUCAUUUGUCCAUCAACUGAGAGAGGCUAUAUCAUUGAUUCUAUAAGUAGAGAAAAGGACCAGCAUAGUUACCUUCUUACGUCUGUCAUUGAUGAAGCUUUUGGGUUUCCAUUUCUUUGGGAUAUGGUGAAUUGUAAGCAGCAAAAGAAUGGUUGGGAAUGUGGUUUUAUGGUUAUCAAAAACAUGUACGAGUUUGUCAAUACUAUUCAACAUGACUUUCCCAUUAAG